UCUUCGCCAACGCGUUUCGUUACCUAGCAAUUAGGUUUACGGAUGGUCAAAUUAGAUCAAACCCUCAUAUUUUGAAAAUUAGCAUUUUGGACCCUAGGUUUCACCUAUUGCAAGAAAUCAUUAAAUUGAUCCAUGAUUUAAGCAACAAUCAUCUAUUUAGCAUCAUAGGAUUCCACUAAAUCCAUUUAUAAGGUAUUUAAACCAACCAUUAAAGAUCUACCAUUAAAGGCUAGCAAAAGCUUACCUCUCAAGCUUGCCCUCAAGGUGGAGAAGAUGAUGAUGAAGACAAUGAAUCCUCUCUUGGCUUCAAUCUCCACCAAAAUCCUCUUCUUUGGGAGAGAUUUAGAGAGAGAAAGAGAGGGUUUUCUUUUCUCCUUCCAUGCGUGUGUGUGUUGUGUGCGUGUGACGUGUUCGGCUGGGAGGAAGAAGAAGCAAAGGGGAUUUAAUCCCUUUUUACCAUUUUGCCCUCAACUACACACUAUUCAUUACGGGCAGCUUGAAAUCUGAUAAAUUUCGUUGGAGCCCUUCUGAAUGUCCGAUUGAGCUCAAAUUUGACAGGCAUGUUCGGUUUUACUUAAUAAGUCCAAAGAAAUUUUAAUAUUUCAGUUUCGACCCCAUUUGGUCACUGAAAACUGUACCGAACUGUAAUCUUUAUCAGAUAGCUUUCGGAUUUUAUUUCUCACUCUACGGGUGUCAGAAAAAUAUGAAACUUUAAGUCUAGCCUCAUUAAAAUAUUUCUGACAUCCCCGCCAAUUUUCAUAAUUUUCUGAGACUGUGCAUUUUCUGCUAAUUUAUCUGUCCCAUUUCCAACAGAAAAUUCUAAAUCUCCUGUUUUCGCUCCGAUUUCAGCACAGGUCAUUCCCAACCUAUAUUUCACUUCUCUAAAUCCAAUAAAAACAGUAUCUCAUACUAUUUUUAUUUAUUUUUAUUUUUAUAUUUAAAACCCGGUAUGUUACAUUCCACCGCAACCUCACCGGAACCAUUUAAACGUACACCGUAACUUCAUAAUUUUAUAAGUUCGGUAUGUUACACUUCCUCUCCUUCUCCGGUAGCCGGCGGGAACGAUGGCGGCGGCAGGGUUCUUCCUCAGGUGGCAAAGGUGGAGGAUGAGGGUUGAUCUAGGGUUUGGGUUCCAAAAUCCCCAAAUCAAACUUUAUAAACCUAAAACCCAUUAAUCUUGGAGAAUAAUCGCUCCAAAGUCCCCAAACUCUCAAAAUUCACAUUCUAAUCCCUCUUUAUUACGUUCCUCUCGUGGAAAGGUCCCUGCCUGCGAGUUUUCACGCAAAAC
rnacentral:lncRNA from 1 species